rnacentral:rRNA from 1 species
GAUAAACGCUGGCGGCGUGCCUAACACAUGCAAGUCGAACGCUCUUUUGCCGCAAGGCGAGAGGGAGUGGCGGACGGGUGAGUAACACAUGGGAAUCGACCCAUUCGUGAGGAAUACCACCGAGAAAUCGGUGACAAUACCGCAUACGCUCGGGGAACCGAGGAAAGCUCUUCGCAAGAGGGGCGCGAGUGGACGAGCCUGUGCCUGAUUAGUUAGUUGAUGGGGUAAGAGCCUACCAAGACUGCGAUCAGUCGCUGGUCUGAGAGGAUGAUCAGCCACACUGGGAUUGAGAACGGGCCCAGACUCCUACGGGGGGCAGCAGUGAGGAAUAUUCGGCAAUGGGGGCAACCCUGACCGAGCAACGCCGCGUGCAGGGAAGACGGCCUUCGGGUGUAAACUGCUUUUCUGGGGGAUGAGCAAGGGACAGUACCCCCAGGGAAGAAGCUCCGGGCUAACUACGUGCCAGCAGCCG